rnacentral:rRNA from 1 species
UACGUAGGGGGCAAGCGUUGUCCGGAAUUAUUGGGCGUAAAGCGCGUGUAGGCGGCUUUGCAAGUUGGGUGUGAAAUCCCUCGGCUCAACCGAGGAAGUGCGCCCAAAACUGCAGAGCUUGAGUACCAGAGAGGAUGGCGGAAUUCCCCAAGUAGAGGUGAAAUUCGUAGAUAUGGGGAGGAACACCGGUGGCGAAGGCGGUUCUCUGGGCCUGACCUGACGCUGAGGAGCGAAAGCGUGGGGAGCGAACAGG